rnacentral:rRNA from 1 species
CAGCAGCCGCGGUAAUACGUAGGUGGCAAGCGUUGUCCGGAAUUAUUGGGCGUAAAGGGCUCGCAGGCGGUUUCUUAAGUCUGAUGCGAAAGCCCCCGGCUCAACCGGGGAGGGUCAUUGGAAACUGGGAAACUUGAGUGCAGAAGAGGAGAGUGGAAUUCCACGUGUAGCGGUGAAAUGCGUAGAGAUGUGGAGGAACACCAGUGGCGAAGGCGACUCUCUGGUCUGUAACUGACGCUGAGAUCCGAAAGCGUGGGGAUCAAACAGGAUUAGAUACCCCGGUAGUCCCUGUCUCUUAUAC